GAGAAUCCCAAUGAUAUUUCUAUUUCGGAUGAUGAAACACAAUUUGGUGAUGAGCAUGAACCUAGUGAUAAUAUUAAUGAUGAUGUUUAUGAUGAUGCUCAACCUAGCAAUGACAAUGAUGUAGAAAUUGAACCUGCUGUUGAUCUUGAUAACCCACAAUCGAAGAAUCAACGUUAUGAUAAGAGAGACUUCGUUGCUAGGAAGCACGGUAAAGAAAGAGAACCAUGGGUUCAGAAACCCAUGCCUUUUCCUCCUAAACCAUCCAAGAAAAAGGAUGAUGAGGAUUUUGAGCGCUUUGCUGAAAUGAUUAGACCUAUCUUUUUGCGUAUGCGUUUGACUGAUAUGCUUAAAAUGAAUCCUUAUGCUAAGUACAUGAAAGAUAUUGUUACAAAUAAGAGAAAGAUACCGAAAGCUGAUAUUUCCACCAUGCUUGCCAGUUAUACUUUUAAUGGUGGAAUACCUAAGAAACUAGGAGAUCAUGGAGUACCAACUAUACCAUGCUCCAUUAAAAGAAACUAUGUCAAAACUGCUUUAUGUGAUCUUGGAGCCGGUGUUAGUGUUAUGACUCUCUCUUUAUAUCGUAGACUUGAUUUGAAUAAGUUGACACCUGAAAUAUCUCUGCAAAUGGCCGAUAAA
rnacentral:rRNA from 1 species